rnacentral:rRNA from 1 species
UACGUAGGGUGCGAGCGUUAAUCGGAAUUACUGGGCGUAAAGCGUGCGCAGGCGGCUCUAUAAGACAGAUGUGAAAUCCCCGGGCUUAACCUGGGAACUGCGUUUGUGACUGUAGGGCUUGAGUGCGGCAGAGGGGGGUGGAAUUCCACGUGUAGCAGUGAAAUGCGUAGAGAUGUGGAGGAACACCGAUGGCGAAGGCAGCCCCCUGGGUCGACACUGACGCUCAUGAGCGAAAGCGUGGGGAGCAAACAGG